CUACGGGCUGCUCCAGUGGGGAAGAUUGCACAAUGGGGGAAACCCUGAUGCAGCAACGCCGCGUGGAGGAUGACGCAUUUCGGUGUGUAAACUCCUUUUAUAUAGGAAGAUAAUGACGGUACUAUAUGAAUAAGCACCGGCUAACUCCGUGCCAGCAGCCGCGGUAAUACGGAGGGUGCAAGCGUUACUCGGAAUCACUGGGCGUAAAGCGCGCGCAGGCGGCCCCUUAAGUUGGAUGUGAAAGCCUACGGCUUAACCGUAGAACUGCAUCCAAAACUGAGGGGCUCGAGUCUGGGAGGAGAAGAUGGAAUUAGUUGUGUAGGGGUAAAAUCCGUAGAGAUAACUAGGAAUACCAAAAGCGAAGGCGAUCUUCUGGAACAGUACUGACGCUGAGGCGCGAAAGCGUGGGGAGCAAACAGGAUUAGAUACCCUUGUAGUC
rnacentral:rRNA from 1 species